rnacentral:lncRNA from 1 species
CUGUCUCCAGGUUCCUGUCUCGAGUCUCUGAUCUGACUUCCCUCGAUGUUAGACUGCAACCUGUGAGGUGAAACAAAGCGUUUCUUCCCCAAGUUUUAGUUGUGGCCUGUGUCACAGCAUCAGAAAGCAAACUAGAAGAAAAAGAAGAGAGGCAGACGUUUCACAUGUCUCCAAUCUCACUGUAGCUUGGCUUUCCGAGCUUCAAAAGCUGGGAAGCUAAAGAAAUACAUCUCCAAGACUCCCUUGGAAUGUAGCUGGGAUCACGCUUUUGCCAUGCAGAAAACAACCCCACCUGACACGGCAGAUAGGUUGAGAGUAGUGCAGAGGUCUUGCCGUUCUUUGGUUUGCACAACUGAGGAGGUUUCUGCUUUUGGAGAGGUUCUGCUGACAAGAUCCCAGACCCACGAGCACCCAGCACAAGGUGGUGGCAGCAGCAGGGACAUUUCUGCUAGAGGCCAAAAGAAGAUGUCAGAUCCCCACAAUCCAGAGUUACAGACAACUGUGAAACCAAACCUGGAUCCUGCAAGAGCUGCAAGAGCUCAUAACUGCUGAGCCAUCUCUCCAGCCCCGUGGUGUUUGUUUGUUUGUUUACUUGAGGUAGGAUCUCACUUUGUUUCCCUGACUGGCCUGGACCUACUAUGUAGUAUAGACUGGCCUUGAACUUGUAAAGAUCUGCCUGCCUCUGACUUGGCAGUGUUGGGGAAAAGCUGUGUACCACUGUACGCCUGUGAAGGUGAUAAAGUCUUCCCAGAUGC